rnacentral:rRNA from 1 species
AGAAUCAACGCUGGCGGCGUGCCUAACACAUGCAAGUCGCACGAGAAAGGGGAGCAAUCCCUGAGUACAGUGGCGCACGGGUGAGUAACACGUGAAUAAUCUACCUCCGAGUGGGGAAUAAACUGAGAGAAAUCUUAGCUAAUACCGCAUAACACUUACGAGUCAAAGCAGCAAUGCGCUUGGAGAGGAGUUCGCGGCCGAUUAGUUAGUUGGCGGGGUAAUGGCCACCAAGACGAUGAUCGGUA